rnacentral:hammerhead_ribozyme from 1 species
AAGCGAAACAGCGGGCCGCCGUGAAGCGGCCUCCUGUCGCCCGGAAGCGGCGUUCCGGGCCUGAUGAGCAAGCCAAAG